rfam:Bacillus sp. HMSC76G11 genomic scaffold Scaffold115, whole genome shotgun sequence.
AAAUUAAUAGUACUUAUCCUUCAUAUAUCCUCGAUAAUAUGGUUCGAGAGUCUCUACCGGAUUGCCGCAAAUAAUCUGACUAUGAAGGCAGAAUAGACGAGU